GAUCCUGGCUCAGAAUCAACGCUGGCGGCGCGCUUAACACAUGCAAGUCGCACGAGAAAGGGGAGCAAUCCCUGAGUACAGUGGCGCACGGGUGAGUAACACGUGGGUAAUCCACCCUUUAGUGGGGAAUAACCCUGGGAAACCGGGGCUAAUACCGCAUAAGCCUGAGAAGGGAAAGCAGCAAUGCGCUGAAGGAGGAGCUCGCGGCCGAUUAGCUAGUUGGUGGGGUAACGGCUCACCAAGGCGACGAUCGGUAGCCGGCCUGAGAGGGCACACGGCCACACUGGCACUGAAACACGGGCCAGACUCCUACGGGAGGCAGCAGUGGGGAAUCUUGCACAAUGGGGGAAACCCUGAUGCAGCGACGCCGCGUGAGCGAUGAAGCCCUUCGGGGUGUAAAGCUCUUUCGACGGGAACGAUAAUGACGGUACCCGGAGAAGAAGCUGCGGCUAACUACGUGCCAGCAGCCGCGGUAAUACGUAGGCAGCAAGCGUUGUUCGGAAUUACUGGGCGUAAAGAGUGUGUAGGCGGUGCUCUAAGUUCGGUGUGAAAUCUCCCGGCUCAACUGGGAGGGUGCGCCGGAAACUGGAGUGCUGGAGCGCGGGAGAGGAAAGCGGAAUUCCUGGUGUAGCGGUGAAAUGCGUAGAUAUCAGGAGGAACACCGGCGGUGUAGACGGCUUUCUGGACCGU
rnacentral:rRNA from 1 species